UACGAAGGGGGCUAGCGUUGCUCGGAAUCACUGGGCGUAAAGCGCACGUAGGCGGAUUGUUAAGUCAGGGGUGAAAUCCUGGAGCUCAACUCCAGAACUGCCCUUGAUACUGGCGAUCUUGAGUCCGGGAGAGGUGAGUGGAACUGCGAGUGUAGAGGUGAAAUUCGUAGAUAUUCGCAAGAACACCAGUGGCGAAGGCGGCUCACUGGCCCGAUACUGACGCUGAGGCACGAAAGCGUGGGGAGCAAACAGG
rnacentral:rRNA from 1 species